CCUACGGGAGGCAGCAGUGAGGAAUAUUGGUCAAUGGCCGUAAGGCUGAACCAGCCAAGUAGCGUGAGGGAAGACUGCCCUAUGGGUUGUAAACCUCUUUUAUGCGGGGAUAAAGGUGUCCACGUGUGGAUGUUUGCAGGUACCGCAUGAAUAAGGAUCGGCUAAUUCCGUGCCAGCAGCCGCGGUAAUACGGAAGGUCCGGGCGUUAUCCGGAUUUAUUGGGUUUAAAGGGUGCGUAGGCCGGUCUUUAAGCGUGCCGUGAAAUUUUGUGGCUCAACCAUGGGAGUGCGGCGCAAACUGGAGGCCUUGAGUGCGCGUAAGGCAGGCGGAAUUCGUGGUGUAGCGGUGAAAUGCUUAGAUAGCACGAAGAACCCCGAUUGCGAAGGCAGCCUGCCGCAGCGUUACUGACGCUGAAGCUCGAAAGCGCGGGUAUCGAACAGGAUUAGAUACCCGAGUAGUC
rnacentral:rRNA from 1 species